rnacentral:rRNA from 1 species
UACGUAGGUGGCAAGCGUUGUCCGGAAUCAUUGGGCGUAAAGGGCGCGCAGGCGGUUCGGUAAGUCGGUCUUAAAAGUGCGGGGCUUAACCCCGUGAUGGGAUUGAAACUGCCGGACUGGAGUGUCGGAGAGGAAAGCAGAAUUCCUAGUGUAGCGGUGAAAUGCGUAGAUAUUAGGAGGAAUACCAGUGGCGAAAGCGGCUUUCUGGACGACAACUGACGCUGAGGCGCGAAAGCCAGGGGAGCAAACGGG